rnacentral:misc_RNA from 1 species
UCAAACUUGGUCAUUUAGAGGAAGUAAAAGUCGUAACAAGGUUUCCGUAGGUGAACCUGCGGAAGGAUCAUUACUGAGUGCGGGCCCUCUGGGUCCAACCUCCCACCCGUGUCUAUCGUACCUUGUUGCUUCGGCGGGCCCGCCGUCUUCGGACGGCCGCCGGGGAGGCCUUCGCGCCCCCGGGCCCGCGCCCGCCGGAGACCACAACAUGAACUCUGUUCUGAAGCAUUGCAGUCUGAGUUUGAUUACCAUAAUCAGUUAAAACUUUCAACAACGGAUCUCUUGGUUCCGGCAUCGAUGAAGAACGCAGC